UGAUGUAAGCCAUGCUCUGGUUUCCUGAGGGGCUUGGCGUCCUUUGAUGUGUCUGUACUACCGGAGCUGGGAUCAUCUGGAGGUUGCCUCCUUUGCUUCUACCCUUCUUCUGUAAAAGUAAAAGGCAGAAAGACCUGGAAACUGAGAUCCACUGGGAGGAACGGUAUUGUAAGAAGAGUAGUGUCAGGAGUCAGAGACUCAUUCACAGAAUACCAUGGAGGCCAGAGGAACAGAGGAGGGGGCGGUGUUUCUUCCCAGGCCCGUGGUGAGAUGAGGUGGGGAACAGGGCUCAGCCUGCCUCUCCUGCUGCUGGGGAAGGAAACUGCCAGUUGUGAGCUGUGUCUGAGAAACCCCAUUGGGGUAGCUGAUCACCUGGGGGUGGCCCACCAUUUGGCGGGCUAUUGGCUCAGGCUGGAAGAUGAAAAAGGGCUGAGCAGAGCUUGGAGGAGCCCAAGUAGUGUCAAGCAAGUCAGAGAUGGAAGGGACUCCAGAGGCCAUGCAGCCUACCCCCCUUGGUGACUAGAUAAGAAGUCAGAAGAUGGAUCCCAGCGGGUCAGGGGCAGAGCCAACACUGACAGCCUUCAACCCCUCUCCUCAGGCCUGACGCGGCCUGAUCCUUGGGACCACGUUCCUUCAGACUCUGCAUGUUCUUGCCAACCUGAAAAUAAAGAAUAAAUGAUAUUUCUCUCAA